rnacentral:rRNA from 1 species
AUUGAACGCUGGCGGCAGGCCUAACACAUGCGAGUCGAGCGAGCGGCGGACGGGUGAGUAAUGUAUGGGGACUGCCCGAUAGAGGGGGAUAACUACUGGAAACGGUGGCUAAUACCGCAUACUAUCGGAUAACCCAUAUGGGAUUAGCGAGUAGGUGGGGUAAAGGCUCACCUAGGCGACGAUCUCUAGCUGGUCUGAGAGGAUGAUCAGCCACACUGGGACUGAGACACGGCCCAUACUCCUACGGAGGCAGCAGUGGGGAAGAUUGCACAAUGGGCGCAAGCCUGAUGCAGCCAUGCCGCGUGUAUGAAGAAGGCCUUCGGUUUGUAAAGGACUUUCAGCGAGGAGGCGUUACCCGCAGAAGAAGCACCGGCUAACUCCGUGCCAGCCGCCGCGGUAAUAC